rnacentral:pre_miRNA from 1 species
AAACUACUCCCUCCGUUCCGAAUUAUUUGUCACAAGUAUGGAUAUAUCUAGAUGUAUUUUAAUUUUAGAUAAAUUCAUUCUUACGACGAGUAAUUUGGAACGGAGGAAGUAAUUG